rnacentral:tRNA from 1 species
GGUCAGGUGGUGUAAAACAGGUUAGCAUACUGGACUGUCACUCCUUUGAUAGGGGUUCAAAUCCCCUCCUGACCG